rnacentral:rRNA from 1 species
UACGUAGGGUGCGAGCGUUGUCCGGAAUUAUUGGGCGUAAAGGGCUCGUAGGCGGUUUGUCACGUCGGGAGUGAAAACUCGGGGCUUAACUCCGAGCCUGCUUCCGAUACGGGCUGACUAGAGGUAUGCAGGGGAGAACGGAAUUCCUGGUGUAGCGGUGAAAUGCGCAGAUAUCAGGAGGAACACCGGUGGCGAAGGCGGUUCUCUGGGCAUUACCUGACGCUGAGGCGCGAAAGCUAGGGGAGCAAACGGG